GUAUUAAAUCGCAGUUAAACAUUUAGACCAUUAAUCCUACUUUCUUUCGUAAAAUUAUGUGCAUUGUUUCGAUGGGGUAAUGGUGUCAAUGGGAGAACUGAUGCUAACGUUCAACUUUUUAGAUAGGUUUUUUUUCUACAACCAGGGUAACACAGUUCCUAGUGGCUGCUUCGACUGAGUUUUACCGUUCAAGAUCUUGUAUUUAGAUGAUCUAGAAAGAGGGAAAUGGUUCUACUUUUGAAGGUGCUGGCUAGUUUGUGCUUGAAGGGGCAAGUAUAAAAUAGUGGUUGCCUUAAGAAAAAACCUUACCCAGCACUCCUGCUAAAAGCAACUUUUUUUGUCUCUGGAGUUGUGUGACUGGGAACUGAUCUAACUGCAAGCUAACGAUCAAAAAACUUUUUCUGUUUUUCUUCAUAUAAAUAUAAUAGUAACCAUACAGGGUGUCGCACCAAAGAAUCUCUUUUUGUCUAGCUGUAGAAGCUGCCAUGAAGCGGAUGUAUAAGAAAAAGGCAAGUGUACAUGAUGCUGCUAGGGAAUAUUCUCCCAGCUUCUUUUUACUUCAGCUCAAGGGACUUGCUGAGAUAGAUGUGGGUUUUUUUGAUAUAUCGUAACUCUAAGUGAUGUCUGUUCCUUGUACUUUUUUAGAUUUUUUUUGUUGCACUCUUGUAAACUCUCAGCACCCAUUUCAUUCUGAUAGUUUCUUCAGGUCUGCUACCUUGUUUGAAUGAUCUCCUUGUUGUUGAACCUGCCUGCUGUUAACUUAAUUUGCCAGCUAGUGUUUACAUUAGAAGAUACAGUGAACAACUGAUUCCUGUUUAGUUUGUGACACUUACUUGGUAGGCUAGCCUCUAAGUUGUUUCCUUCCCACAGUGAAAAGGUGUAGGAUGCUGGUUUCCAAGUAAAAAGUUACAUACUCUUUCUCCUUGUUGCCAUUUUGUGAACCUUCUCUUAGUUCUAGUAGCUACUUCUCUUUUAGAUGAAAGAACACAGUAUUCCAGAUGUGGGUGAAUUUUAGAUUUAUAUACCGGCAUGAUUUUUCUUUAUUUCCUAAUAAUUCAUCAUGCUCAGUUCAUGAUGUGUCUACACAAAUAUUUGUGCAAGUUCAGAAAAGGAGACAGUAUGGGAAAAGGGAAAAAUUGCUGCAUUUCAUGUAGGGAUGGGUUAAGACUUUUUGAACUGUAACAUGAAAUAGUGGUUAUUGGAUGUUGGAAGAGAGCAGGCUUGCUGCUCCCAUUUUCUGCAAGUGCAGGUUGCUUUGAAUGUUAAGAAAUUAAGGCAUGAACUUGUGGAAGAAAGCAGGGUAUUUAGUGCUGAACUUUGUGUGCUGUUUUGCGGUAGUGUCUGUCAAAGCCCCACAAGUUGUCACUGGAGUCAGAGUUAGAUUCCUAAUAGAAGUUUCAUUUUUCAUUUCUGUGGACAGGAUUGAAGUGAAAGAUACUUGGGAUACUUUGUUGUUGUUCUUGCUUGAACCCUUUCAGGUAAAUGGAAGCAUCAGUAAGUUGUGAACUUAAUACUCAUAAAAAUUGAACACUGGUUGAAAUUUUCCAAACCAUUAAUAUUUUCUCUACAGUAGAUUGUAGAGCCAUGUUGUUUAGAAGACAGUCUAUGUGACUGGUGAUUGUACAAGGAACAGAAUAAACUUGCAAAGAAAAAAACACGUAGACUUUACUGUCUCUUUCCUGUGGCUCUGACAAGUUCAUAACAGUAUUCUGAAGUAUGUUUUGGUUUGCUAUUAAAAGUACUGUUGUCAUUCCUACUCAGUUGCAAAUGUUAAAUAUCAUUCACUUCCACAAGCUGGAGAUUGAGCUGUUGUAAGAAAUGCAGUCAAUUAAAUUCAAGCCAUUAACUAGCCAUAGCAACUGGGUUAGUUUUGCAGUUUAUUAGACUAACUCAGCUGCAUUGCUUCACUGUGGCUGAUGAAAGAGUGAAAAUAAUGUGGAAAGAAGAGGCCAAUUCUUGAAUAGGUAUGUUUCCAUUUUUGUGCUGUUAUUUUCCUCUGCGGAUUAAUGAGGCAAAUUAAUCUUUACUCUUGGGACUGUCUGCGGUGAAAAGUAAAUAUAUCAUUUUAUCAGGGUUUAUAGUAUCACUUGUCAAUUAUUUUUUAUUUUCUUUCACAUGCAGGAUAGUGUUGAAGGUUCAGUUUCUGUUACAAAGCAGAGAACAGGAUCCAUUGGAGAUCGCCCAGCAAGACCUACUCUUUUAGAACAAGUACUGAAUAAAAAGAGGCUGUCCCUACUCAGAAGUCCAGAAGUAGUGCAGUUCCUACAGAAACAACAGCAACUGUUAAGUCAGCAGGCUUUGGAACAAAGGCAGCAACAGUUUCAAGGAGCACCUGGGUAACCAGAACAGAUCAGUGACCUGCAUAUAAGUCUGGUGCUGAAGGAGGAAUAGGAUGUGUAUUUUAUAUAAAUACAAAGAGUCUCGAUGUUUAAAGGAAAACUAAAGUUGCUGCUGUUACGUAUUUUACUUGUUUGCACUUUUGAGGUUUUGAGCUGCUUGGGUGUCUGCAAACUUGUGAGCAAAUAUGGAGGAGUCUGUUUUUUGAUUCUUUUUAACACUUCAUUUAUACGUUUAAUUUUUUUAAUAGAUAUUUGUUUAUAUUAGUAACGUUCAGCUGUACACCCUUUUCCUACCAAAGUCUUCCACUAAAUGUUUUUCUAUAUAAGGAUUUACUGUUAAACAAGUCACUCUUUGAUGACAAUCAUUGAAGUCAGUUACUUUCUAUGGAAGUUUUGAAAUAAAGUCCUGAAUUUGAGCCAGUCCAGUGGCAUGACCUAACAGGAAUUUCUCAGGGAUAUGAGAAACUUAUGUCCAGUAGAAUCUUGCACUAAAGGCAAAGAUAAUGUGCCAUCAAGAAGUUGAUCCAGUGGCCCAGAAAAGUGCAAAUCAGGUGAUCCUCCUGCUAUAUAUUCAUUAUCUGCAAGUUCAGUAGGUUUGAAAUGCUUCAUUAUGUGUGCAAAGCAUUUAAAAGUUUCAGAAGAGAGAAAUGGCAAAAAGCUUUAGAGAAGGAUUGGGUGAAAUGUAUGCAACUGAGAGUUGUACCUUGUUUUGUGGAGUUAUUUGUAAGGACCAACCUCUUAUACAUUAAAUAUAACUUAGUUACAGAUGACAGUAUCACUCAUUUUUAAGUGACCACAUUAAAAUUUAAAGCUUUUAACUUGUAUUAGCAAAUGCAUCCAAAACCUAAAAUGUAAUUGUGCAUUUUUUCCUUUAUGUAGUCUUUUUCUUCUAAAAAAAGUAUAAUUAAAAUUCUUCUAUUAAGAGAACUGAUAUCAACUCUAGUGCUAGACUUCUCAGGUUUUCAGCCAAUUCAGAUGAAUUUGCAGUUGAUUGGGUUAAGAAUCCAAACACUGUGUUAUGUAAGUGUUGAAUCCCAUGUUUUGUUUUUAAAACAAAGUUUUGUAUUAAAACGCAUUUCUGAACAGAGAUUAUCUGAAUGAUGUAGGUGCUCAUUAAAGUACUACUUAAUACUGCGACAGUUCGAUCUGCUAAAUAAUCUCUCUUCAGGAGUAUUUGUUAGUCUUGCGAAUUUUUACAAGCUGUGCUUUGUGUAUGUAUAGAACUUGGUCAGUAGGGAUUGAUUGUAUUUAGCAUUGUACAAGUUGUUCUUUAAAAAAGAAAAUGAAAAACUUUGUAUCAGCAGUUCUGGACCAAUAAGAGUUUGAGUAAAAUCUUUGUUUCUCUUUUAAAAAAACAAACCCAAAGCCUGUCCUCCUUUGUUCUGUUAAAUUUGUAUGUUGGGGUUUUUUCUAUACUAAGAUGGCUAGCUCUGGCUAGGUGGCAUUUAAAACUCUUAUGUUCCAAGGCUCUUGUCAUAGGUGGUUAUUUUAGCUUUAAGUAAAAUCAGGUUACUGUUUUCAGUGUGUCAGAAUAUUUGUGAAAACAUAAUGGGCUGAAAUUGUAAAACAGGGUAUUUGAUUUUGGUUUAAAUGGUCAUCUUACAAAAAAGCACUGAGGUGAGCAGAUCUGAUUAAGCUUUUCUAAAAAACAGACCAACCCUCAUGGUAGAAAAGGGACACAGGGUAUGUGUGAUAACAGUGCUGAACGAGUUGGUUACCUCAAAACAAAUGAAACUUGCUGAAGUUGUGCAUAGAGAUGUUCAGCACGGUGCAGCUCACCUAUCCUGUAUUUCUGGUGGUCUGUGAUGGCAGUGCCUUACAGGCUGGUGCAGAUGGCAGGAGAUGUGCUGGCAACAGGGCUGCCCCGUUCAGGCAGGGUGGGUGUUGGGUGGGAUUCCCAAACCAUGUGUGAACACAGCAGUGUCUGUGUUCCUCCAAGACCAUUAUGUCAUCUUCUCUCUUGCUUCUGUUGUUGCAGAACAAAAUCUGAACUUUAGGAACGUUUAAAACCUGACUCAGUAACAGUAACAGUACAUUCUUACUAUAUCUCUUUUUCCUUGAGCAGUUUAAGACCCUCAUAGCAGCAAGUCUGUCUGCUCGCUAAUGUGUUGGUCUGGUCCACAGCUAGGGCUUCUGUCAUAGGGCAGCAUCACUGCUCAUUAACUGCCUGUCGGAUCAGGGCUGCCUCCUUCAAAAGCUGAACUGUCCUCUUCAUCUUCAAAUCUACCACAGGACAGUGAGGGAUGCAUGUACUUUGUAACAUGCAGAUUUUAUGCUGUAUUCAUUUGCAACCCAUUUUAUAGUGUCCAACAUCCCAUUCUGCUGGGAGGGUUGCUUCAUCCCAUUACUCUGAACGCACCAAUUCCUCUUGCCUAAGUGACAUAUGAAUAAAGGCUUUCUAAAUGCUGUGGUUACCAAAGCCACUGGUGAUCAGACUGGGACCUACCGCUUUCCAGGGCCAGUCUCUUUCAAGGAGAAAAAGAGGAGACAACAAGGGAAAGAGCUCUUUAAUCAGAAAUAUCUUUAUUAACAGUAAAACACAAGACGUGAAUAAUCCCUUUUACAACAGAAUAAUUCCAGCCAAAGAAAAUGGAGUGUGUUAAAAAGUGUAUUGUUCAAACAUCAGGCUAAAUAUGUUGACUUCAGAAUGCCUCAAAUGCAGCAGGAGGAAUGCUUGUGAAAAUGUCCACUUGAUUAGCAAUUGUUUUAUCUUUCUUGACAUGACAGGGCAUGGGGCAGAGUACUCUGGGGCUUAUUGGAGGACUCUGAGCUGCCCUCAUCUCUCAGUCUCCUGAAACUAAGUAUGUUUGAGAUUUUUCAUUCUCAAGAGUCCAAGUAGCGUUCUUUAUACAGCAAUCUACACUGUUUUAAAGAUGAUCACUAGCUGUGAAUAAUACUUCAUUCUGGAUGGUGCAAAUGUUUUGCUUUGAUUCCGAUGGAAAAGCAAGGGCGGAAUUGUUCAUAGACACUGUUAAAUCUAUGUAUGAUUCAUGGUGCUUUUUGGCACAAGACUGGUAGCUUGUACUUGACACAAAAAAACCCGCACCUUGCUUGAAUCUGCCCUUUUCACCCCUGGACUGCAUAGAACUUUACAACCUUAUGGCUUCAUUGACCCCCACAAUAAGGGCUUGUUCCUUCACCUUGUCACACUUCUCAGCCCCAUUUACAUCACAGAGGUGAUACUGAAAUGAGGGAUUAAAUUGCUAACACUGAUUUAUCUGCAGAAAGUAUGCUGUGGUACAUUUAACUUAGUAUUAUAAAUAAUUCAGAACUCCAAUUGCUUGAGUAAGUGAAGAAAAUUUAUAUGAAUGUGCAUUAUCUCUGCUCAUCAUUUCAUUUGUUCUCUUGCUCUUGUUUGCAAAGCUUCUCAUGGACAUAAUUGAAUUAAUAGGAUUUAACACACACUUUAGCAUCAAAAAAUCACUUUGAAACAUGAUGUGCUUGCUACCGUGAAAGUGCAAGGGGUCAGACUUUACCAAGUUUUUUGUAGCUUUUCUUUGCUGAUGAGGUCUGUAUUUAAAAUUAUUAACUGGUUGAUCUAUUCCUAUGCUAUUCAUAUGCAAUAUUAUUUGAGUACUAACACAGAAUAUAAAAUAGCAGCAUCCAUGGAGAAUAAAACCACUAUGACUGAAGAUUUAAAAACUGUUCACAAUUGGCUGCAAAUGUUCACAUUGGCUAUAAUGGAAGAGUAGCCGACUCUGGAGGACAUAGUGGUUACAGACAUGGCCUGCACAUUAGAUUCAUUAUCUGUACAGGCACCAGGUUUGCAAGCAUGGCCCAAUUGCAAGUGGAGGCAUCUUCCUGAUGGGCCUCAUAUGCCUCACCUCCCUGGCAGGAAAGUGUGGCAUCAAUAUGGCAAUAUAAUGUAAGGCACACCUGGACAAGCUAUUGGGAAGCCCUGGGGUGAACAGGUAACAGGAUUCUGGCUGCUCCUGGCCACUCCGGAGCUUCCUAUGAGUAGAUGAUCGGUACAAACCAAAGGCUGUGUUUUGUGCUGGUGCACAACAUGCAAAAGUGUCCGUCUGCAGUAGAGACAGAAAGGGAUUUCUCUCUGCUGAGCACAGACUAAAUGCCCUCCCAGGCUUUUUGUACUCCCAGAGCUGCCAUUAGGAAGAAGCCCUGUUUCAGUGGCUGCGAUGAAGCCUCCAGGUUGAGAAGCUUUUUAUUCACAGAUCUAAAGUCUCACAUAAUCUCUCCCGGCUGCAAGAUGGGACCAACUCUAUCAGGCUCUUUUUUGAUGGUGACCCGACCUCUUACUUGCUCUCAGGGAAGCACACUUGUCUAUUCUUAGUUCCUGCUAUAAAUGUGAUUUCAUAGGAGUCCCUGUGAAGGCUCCUGCUGAUUCCAUCUUCCUUUGGGCACUACAAUUUCCUACCUAAACAUGAAGCAAGUUGCUUUAUUGCAAUUCCCAGGUAGAUUAUAUAUCCAUGUCUUUCGUUCAUGCAGUUUCUGUUUCAGACUGCAGUUUUCUUUGAGAAGCACACAGUUGGAUGUGCUUGUAGUGUCCUUGAAUGGUUGCCCAAAACUGAACUCCCCAUUAGUCCUUCAGUGAGGCAAAGGGUAAUCUUGCAAGUGCAGUUCCAAGAUGCAACCAGAGCCUACUCCUGGAUCACAUGGAACACCACUUUUCCCUAACAUAUCUCAUGGCUUAACCAGGAGGCUGGCACACUCAGCCAGGCUGUGUGUAUAGGAAGCACCAGAUUAAGGAUUGUGGUACUCCAAGCUGCUCCUAAAACAGGUUUCGAUGUUUAGUUCAGACAUGAAUGUAAAAAGCUUCAGUGAACACCAUGGCUGCCCAAGCACAUGCUGCCUUGAUACCUCCAGUGAUGACCACUGACCAUAUCUGGUCAUAUGCUUCCCAGUUCCUUCAUUCUCUAAGUGCAUCUCUGGCUACUGUAACCAACCAUGAACUAGAAGUCCUCUAUAAAAAAUACUUCUCAGCCACUUCAGUGGGGUUUUCACUCACCCAGAAAGGCUUGGGUUCAGAUGUUCGAGUAACGGCCUACUACUCUCCGGGCUUCUCCAGAGCAAGGAACUAUUGCCUUUGACUUAGAGAGCAUGUGGGACAAGUUAUGGUUGGUGCAUUUCUGAUGAUAUAUAAAUCUAUAUUCUCAACUUUUUAAAAUGGUAUUUAAUGACACUAUGACUCAUUAAUUUUUCUUUGUUUGGUUUUGGUCUUAGUAAAUUAGAUUAUGGGGAGCUGGGGGGAAAGGUGAAUAGUACAGAGGGCGUAAUGUUUCUUUCUUGUGCUGAGCACCAUGUAGUGCUCAAAUAUUCCUGAAAGCUAUAGCUGCACCAGAGAAGACUCUGCUGAGCCAGGAAAACUGGCUUUAUAUUUGAGACCCUUUCAAAGUUACUAAAUUCAAUCAAGCUUGUUUCCAUCCAGCCAGGAAGCAAACAGGCUCUGCCUGAGCUGCCUCUGUAAAUCCAGCUGUUCAUGCAACUCCUCAGUUGCUAGUGAGACUUUCUGGUUCUUGGAGGUUAUAGGCAAAGGUGAGUGUUGUAAGCCAGGAAGAACAAGGGCAAAUUAGCUAUAGUUACAAUCACAAAUGCUUGAUUUUUUCCAUUUUAAGAGCUGUGUGGUAGAGAUGAUGUUUACAGUGAGAAAUGUUUGCAGUGUUUAUUUUAUGCUGAGGGAACAUUAAUAUCUUCUAACUCUGUCCUGCACUGAACUCAUGCAGAAAUUGCUAAGGAUAAACAUAUUUCACCCUGAAACUGUCUCUGCAAACAGAGAGCUCUGGCCUGUGGCAACCAGUUAUCACGGAAUCUCUGUACAGACCCACAGAACAAUGUAAAUUGUAAGGGAUCUGUGCAGGGCAUCAAGUCUGACACCCUGCUCAAGGCAGGGACCACUUGAAGAAGGCUGCUCAGAGCAGUAAAAGUCCUGACACAGUACUUGGUGAAGAAAUGUAAGGAAUUUCCUUGACUCCAGUUGAUGUUACCUGGGGCCACAGUUCCCCUUCGUGUUGCUGAUACAUUAUCCUUCAGACUAAGCAUGGCAAAACAUGAAACUCAUAAGGUGUAAAAAGAUGCUUGUGGCAUAGCCUCUGGUGGGGAGGCAAAGCACAUGCUACACUGCUGAACUACAGCCACUGCUAUACCAUACCUGACCAGCUGUUACAGUGCAAGGUUAUGGGAGUGAGAUAUCAGAGCAGCAGUGCCACUGCAUGCCGCCAUGCAGUCAGUGUGCUCGAUUUGCUUCUGUCACCUCUGCAUGAAAAUGGCACUUUCAUACUGGUGCUGCUGAAGAACUGGCAGCAAUUAAGCAGUCAUCUUCUCUUGACCACUUAACAGGAAAACAAGUGGUCCAUGUACCAUGAUGAAUGUGCUUUAUGCCUCUACCUGAUCAAACUCCCAUUGCUGCCUGCUGAUGCAUGGUACUUCUCCACAGAAACUUUCAAGAAGGUUUGAACUGUUGAUGACUCAAAAAACAUUUUUUAAAAUCUGCCUUUGACCAAGUAGUCUCCCUGUAAGUGGUUUUAAAUCUCUCAGGAAGCCCAUCUUCAAAGCUUGAGUAUUAAUGAGUACAUUUAAAGGCUUUAAAUCGACUACGGGUUGAUAGGUUCAUGAAGACCUUUCAACAGAAAAUAUCUCCUUACAAAAUGGGGAUACAUUAGAGUGAGAUACAAAGUUACACUGCUGUAAAUGAUGAGAAACCUGAAUUUUUAACUGAGCUCAAUUCACAUGUAGUAGAGAAGUCUGUAAGGGACUUUGUUCAGAAAGAAAGGGAAAUAAAGGGUUUAGUUUUUAUCACUGCAUCUGGGCAGGGGUCAUCUUCCUCUUUACUUGUUUGCCUCAUCUACUGUUACCACUUGUCCCUUGUGAUGUGAGCUCUCCCAGUCUCUCAGGAAGGAGCUGUCAGCUGCUUUGUGUUUGCACAGCAUCUCAUACAGAGGAGCAGGCCCGUACAGGCCACCAAAAUAGGUAAUAGUUCACACAGUGAUACCAGCCUUCCCAAAGGCUAACAGCUCUGAGAUGGCUGUUUGGCUUUGAUUGUCCUGAAUCAGGUGCUUCAGUCCAACUUUCAGCAGAUAAAUUUGCUGAAAUUCACCUCAUCCUAAUGCAGACAGUGUAAAGAGGUCAGAAGAAUCAUGCUCCAGAAAUGUCUAACUUACUAGUAAGGGAGUAUUAAGGUGACUACCUUUAAUGAGAUGCAUGUGUGGACUGCACUGAAGCCAAAUCCUAUUUGUAUGAGGAUUACUAUAGAAGUAGACAUACAGGAAAGGACAAACUGCUCUGAAUUUCCCAACUUCCAUUUAAACAACAGACACUUACUAAGCAAGCAUCAUUACUAGUCUGGGAAAGCCACCACAUCUUCCCUAUGGCCCACCUCACCAACUUUUGGAUAUGUCCAAUGUAACAGUCCACAUUUGAGCUAGUGACCCUUAGUUCUCCUUAUACUCAAUGGAAGACGUAAGCAUGUUCAGAGCAGAGUGUAUUUUAUCUACUUGAAAUACCUGCCUUAUGAUGAAACAAAUGAUGCCCCAGAGGAACCUGCUUCUCUUCAUUGGCCAUUCAGUUUUCCUCUGCAGCAUUGGCAGGAAAGUGGGUUCUGGGGCUGUCCAAGAGAAGAUGCACCUCACAACAUCCCCGUAUGCUCUCUGUGAGCAAGAUGACAAUGCUGAGAAUGUCUAAAAGCAACCCGUAGGCUUCUCUCUAUAUUAGGAGGGAAGGAGGUUUCAGCCUAAAAGGCAAGGAAGAAUCUAGGAUAAAAGACAGCUAGAUCCUGGACAGGAGAGGUGAUUUUCUCUGUCCUUCGCUGCUAAGAAAGCAAAGGAAUGAGCAAAGGAAUGAAAAGCACAGAGAAAUAACCGGAGAAAGGGUGCAAUAAACAUGCUAAAACCCAUGUUACCAGUACCUCGGUACAGUGACACCAGUAACAGAGGGAGCUGAUUUUCCAAACCAAUCUUUCUUUUGUCUGCUAAACAGUAAAUGGCACACCUGGAAUUUCUGUGUCACAUUAUUAUUGCUGCAGGAGACUGUAAAGCUUUUCCUAUCCCACAGUGACACUGCUGACAUCAAAUGGUGACAGAAUAGGGUUCUUUGCAUUUACAGAUUUCCUAUACAACUUGCUAUUACUGCUCAAACUUAUCAGUAAUUUAUCCUUGUGUGCCCUAAAAAUUCUGCGGGCAGCUGAAGAUGUAUUCAAAUGAAGUAACCCUGCUAGUUUACUGAUUCUUCUGCUCUGUUCAUAAUUACCACCCCAUAACAGGUAUUACAUAGCAUCUAAAACACAUGGAAAGUUUUUCUGGUGAAUGUUAUUUCCUUUGUGUAUGUGAUGUAGCUGAAGAUUUCAGGCAUCCUCUUCCAAUUAUGCAGUAAAAUGUGUGUCACCAGAUAUUGUGUGAGAAGAAAAGAAACAUUCUGUAAAACUUUUUUUUUUUUUUUCUUAGGAUACUUCUGGUAUGUUCUAAGGAGGAAUGAGAUUGGAGAAGCUAUCACUCUUUCUGACCCUUAAAGCAAAACAAUUUUCAGUGGACUGUUAUGUCUGGAAAGAAACAAUCCUCUACCCUUUCAACAAGGAGCUUGUUGCUUUUCAGUGCAGCAGUACUGUACACUACUUUGUUAACAGUAUCAGACUACUCAGAUGUGUCCAGAAUGCUCUGACAAGGCUCCAGUGCUGAACGCGUCCUGAGGGCUCUCUCCUCCUGCCAAAUCCUAGGGGAGACAGGGAUGCCUCAGCUCCACAGAUGACCUGUUGUCCCAUCGUGCUUUGCAGUAGGGAAACAGACUGGAAUUGCAGUUUAGUCCUUCAGUUCACUGGAUAAAAGUCAUCUCUACGCAAAAGUCCUGUGCACCACCUAAGGUCCUCUUUUAGACCUGAAAUUAGGAUGUGAAAUGGAUAUAAAUGGUGUAGAGAUCUGACUUUGGAUGCCUGCAGAGGGGUGAAUUUCACCUACUAGGAACAGCUACAGCCAGGUUUCUAAAUCCAUGCGAAAGUGCUGAGAAUUCGCACCGUUUACUGGCUUGGCUGGGGAAUGAAGAUGCUCACAGGAAAUGUUUGACACUUUUGCAGGAAUUUGGCUUAUUUUGUACUAGAGAACAGAUAGGCUAUACCUGAAUUUCUAAACUUAUUGUACUGGCAUCAGAAUAACUAGAAACCACAAAAUGUAGCAUGAAAAAAAAG